GAUGAAGAACGCAGCGAAAUGCGAUAAGUAAUGUGAAUUGAAGAAUUCAGUGAAUCAUCGAAUCUUUGAACGCACAUUGCGCCCGCCAGUAUUCUGGCGGGCAUGCCUGUUCGAGCGUCAUUUCAACCAUCAAGCCCCCGGCUUGUGUUGGGGACCUGCGGCUGCCGCAGGCCCUGAAAAGCAGUGGCGGGCUCGCUGUCACACCGAGCGUAGUAGCAUACAUCUCGCUCUGGGCGUGCUGCGGGUUCCGGCCGUUAAACCACCUUCAUAACCCAAGGUUGACCUCGGAUCAGGUAGGAAGACCCGCUGAACUUAAGCAUAUCAAUAAGCGGAGGA
rnacentral:misc_RNA from 1 species